CAGCCAUCGGGACCCGGGGAACCCCCACACAGUACCCGUGUCUAGAACGGUCGAAUGAGCGAACACUGCCGCCAAAUGUGAUAUACUGUGCCUUCUUCUCUCAUGCAUCUCCAGCACCGGUCGCUUACACCGGGGAAAUGUGUCCUGUACCACAUGGCUACUUUCUUAUAAAACCUUUCUCUCUGUGCAACACUAAUAGAGUAUUUCAUUACUUGUCCCAUAAUGUAUUCCCAGUCUUUGUGGGUUAACUGUACUUUAAGGAUGGAGCACCAUUUAGCCCAGUAUGGUGGGGAAGGGUUCUCAGGGUAGUGGUUUUUGUAUCCGAGCGCAGAAAGAGGUCUGUGCAGUCUGGUGCCCGAAGUGCACAGCUUCUCAAAGGGGGUCAGGUCCCUCUCUUCCCAGGCUGGUAGUAUGUAUUUCUUUAAAUAAAUGGACAGCUGGGAAUAUUGCAUCACCUCUAGGAGAGAAGCUAGACUGCUGCCACUUCUGAGAUAUAUUAGGGCAGGGAGACUAGAGCCUUCUGUUACCCAUCCUAUCCUCAUGUUCUCACUCCCCAGGAGACUUUUGAUGGAUUCUUCUCCCCUUCCUUGUUGGAAAACUGGGUUGUGGGCUAUCGGACAUAGAGGCGUCCCAGGGAACAUCUUACAAAUAGUUUUAAUUUUCCUCCGUGUAUGAAGAAUGUGGCCCAGAAAGGGGUGGGAAGUCUGCACUAGUUUACUUAGAUGGCGUGUUUGCCACGGUAAAGUCUCCAAAGGGGCUGUGGCAAAACCCUGUUCCAAGUCAUACCAUGCCCUGGGGAACCACCUAUCUGCCCACUCUUUCAAGCGUACCAUAAGUGCUGCAAUGUAAUAGUGGUACCCGUGAGGUAACCCCAAUCCCCUUCUUUCUCCCGGUGCCAUCAGUACUUUAUAAGAGAUGCG